GACGAACGCUGGCGGCGUGCUUAACACAUGCAAGUCGAACGAAGAGCGAUGGAAGCUUGCUUCUAUCAAUCUUAGUGGCGAACGGGUGAGUAACGCGUAAUCAACCUGCCCUUCAGAGGGGGACAACAGUUGGAAACGACUGCUAAUACCGCAUACGAUCUAACCUCGGCAUCGAGGAUAGAUGAAAGGUGGCCUCUACAUGUAAGCUAUCACUGAAGGAGGGGAUUGCGUCUGAUUAGCUAGUUGGAGGGGUAACGGCCCACCAAGCCGAUGAUCAGUAGCCGGUCUGAGAGGAUGAACGGCCACAUUGGGACUGAGACACGGCCCAGACUCCUACGGGAGGCAGCGGUGGGGAAUCUUCCGCAAUGGACGAAAGUCUGACGGAGCAACGCCGCGUGAGUGAUGACGGCCUUCGGGUUGUAAAGCUCUGUUAAUCGGGACGAAAGGCCUUCUUGCGAAUAGUGAGAAGGAUUGACGGUACCGGAAUAGAAAGCCACGGCUAACUACGUG
rnacentral:rRNA from 1 species